UACGUAGGGGGCAAGCGUUGUCCGGAUUCAUUGGGCGUAAAGAGCGUGUAGGCGGCCAGGUAGGUCAGUUGUGAAAACUGGAGGCUCAACCUUCAGAGGUCGACCGAAACCAUCUGGCUAGAGUCCGGGAGAGGAGAGUGGAAUUCCUGGUGUAGCGGUGAAAUGCGCAGAUAUCAGGAAGAACACCCGUGGCGAAAGCGGCUCUCUGGAACGGUACUGACGCUGAGACGCGAAAGCGUGGGGAGCGAACAGG
rnacentral:rRNA from 1 species